UACAGAGGUGGCAAGCGUUGUUCGGAAUUACUGGGCGUAAAGCGCGCGCAGGCGGCGGUGUUGGCCCGGCGUGAAAGCCCCCGGCUCAACCGGGGAGAGUCGUCGGGGACCGCACCGCUUGAGGGCGGUAGGGGCUGGUGGAAUGCCUGGUGUAGUGGUGAAAUGCGUAGAGAUCAGGCAGAACACCUGGGGCGAAGGCGGCCAGCUGGGCCGUCCCUGACGCUGAGGCGCGAAAGCUAGGGGAGCAAACGGG
rnacentral:rRNA from 1 species